GAGUCCUGAACUGUAGCGAGCCCAAUAUGAACAGAACGGGACUCACCCUCCCGGGGCGUUCGGGGACGUCUACAGGUAUGUUUUUAUUGUUUUUGUUUUUAUAAAACAUGUUUCUGUAUACAUUUUGGAUACAUACUUUGAUAGUUGUCAUGAUCAGUAUAGAAAAUCAAUUUCAUAAUUUUUUUUUUAUUUUUAUUUUUUUUAAUUUUAUUGACAGGUUCACAAGGGGAGGAUAAGAGGGUUCUUUUUGAGAACAAUGACUUGGUUUUGCAUGAAGGAUUUCUAGUUCCAAAAUCUGUGCAAGAUACUGGGUUUGAUGCCCCAGAGAUCAAUUCAUUUGGCCACUCAUUUAGGGACUAUGAUGCAAAGAGUGAAAGACAACAAACUAUUGAGAAAUUCUAUCGAGUGAACCACAUUAACCAAACAUAUGAUUUUUGGCUUCAAGACCCAUCGUUCAACACCAAAACAGAGGUAUUUUACAUUGUCUCUUGAAUUUCCCUUUCUCUGCUCUUGAUCGCUGUUGUUGGUUAAUUAUGUUUUUUGAAUUCUGAAUCCUGACGGAUUUGUUGUUUGGAUUUGUUGGUUGAUAAUAUUUUGUAUUACUUCUAAGAUUUCAUGUACAGCACACAGUGCUUCCCUUUCUAUUUGACAUGUAACUUUAUAGAGAUAUGUCCAAUUUUGGAGUUAAUAAUAAUGUAUUUUGGAGUUGAGCCCAUCUCAAUCUCAAUUAAACA